rnacentral:lncRNA from 1 species
UGGGUGAGGAUUUGAAGAAUGAAAAUUAAAAACUAUCCGAUAAAAUGAAAGGAUCUGAGAGAUGAAAAACAAAAUUACAAAAUAAUCAUUUUGAACAUGAAAAAAGUUGGAGAUAUAAUAAUAAUGAAGAAAGUGCAUAUGGUUAAUAAUAAUAAUAAUAAUAAUAAUAAUAAUAAUAAUAAUAAUAAUCCUAGAAAAUAUAUUGCUUUAAUU